GAGUUUGAUCCUGGCUCAGAUUGAACGCUGGCGGCAUGCCUAACACAUGCAAGUCGAACGGCAGCACAGUCGUAGCAAUACGAUGGGUGGCGAGUGGCGGACGGGUGAGUAAUGCAUCGGGAUCUACCCUGACGUGGGGGAUAACCUCGGGGAACCGGGACUAAUACCGCAUACGUCCUACGGGAGAAAGCGGGGGACCUUCGGGCCUCGCGCGGCAGGACGAACCGAUGUGCGAUUAGCUAGUUGGCGGGGUAAUGGCCCACCAAGGCGACGAUCGCUAGCUGGUCUGAGAGGAUGAUCAGCCACACUGGGACUGAGACACGGCCCAGACUCCUACGGGAGGCAGCAGUGGGGAAUAUUGGACAAUGGGCGCAAGCCUGAUCCAGCAAUGCCGCGUGUGUGAAGAAGGCCUUCGGGUUGUAAAGCACUUUUAUCAGGAGCGAAAUACCACGGGUUAAUACCCUAUGGGGCUGACGGUACCUGAGGAAUAAGCACCGGCUAACUUCGUGCCAGCAGCCGCGGUAAUACG
rnacentral:rRNA from 1 species